CACGUAGGGCGCAAGCGUUUGUCCGGGAAUUAUUGGGCGUAAAGAGCUCGUAGGCGGUCUGUUGCGUCCGCUGUGAAAACUCGGGCUUAACCCCGAGCCUGCAGUGGAUACGGGCAGACUAGAGGUAGGUAGGGGAGAAUGGAAUUCCCGGUGUAGCGGUGAAAUGCGCAGAUAUCAGGAGGAACACCCGUGGCGAAAGCGGCUCUCUGGGACGGUACUGACGCUGAGACGCGAAAGCGUGGGGAGCAAACAGG
rnacentral:rRNA from 1 species